UUGAGAAGAAAGUGCUGCGCUCGUUGAACGUCAUCCAGCUACGUCUGGCUGAGCACUCUGAGCAACUUGACGCAAUUGCUGAAUGCCUGCAGCAGCCUUGCUCUUCAGAUACAACCACGACCUUUGAGCAGUUGACAGAUGUUGAAUCAUUUUUGCACUUCGACGAUGAGCUGAAGACGUCACCAGAGAAGCGCGAGUCAUUGCGCAAGUUCAUGACAACACUGGGAGGCAACAACACCGGUGACAGAGUACGGCGGAUUCUCUACCAUCUCCUGUCAGACGAGGUCGCUGUGUGCUUUAAUUGGACUGGGACAGGGUCAAAGGAAAAGUUCCAAUCACUUCAGCUCACAGCUAUCAUGCUAAGUUCACUCACGACCCCACCGGCAGCUGCAAC